AACUGUACAUCCAUGUGCACAUGAUAAAUAGACAUCCUAUAAAUAAUUUGCCCAGUGAUAGUUGAAAUUUUGAUGAAACAUACCCAAACUAGAGAUGCACUGAUACAAAAUUUGUGUGCAAAAUGAGAUUAGAUUAUUCAGAACAACAUCUGCCAAUACCAAUGAUACAGUAACUUGUUUUAAAUCACUAAUAAUUAAUUACACAAGUUCGAUUGUGUAAUUGAAAUAACUUUAUUCUUUAUGUCUAUAUAUGUCUGCCAUGUUUCAGAGUUACUGGUAUCAGUUAUAAACAAAACAUUGAAUCAAAAAGAUUAUUUUUAACUCACAUUGACCUUCUUAACACACAUUAACUAAAUUCUAAAUAGCCUCUUGUUAGACUCGCAUUAAAUUGGUAAGACUUUUUUAAUUAAAUGAACUGAAAUUAUGAAGCUAGUCCCUUUAUAGCUGGAGCUGGCUCUGCUUUAGCUUUAACAAACUCAAAUUCAAUGCUGUGAUUAUUUGUAAGGCAAAUAAUCCAAUUAGUUGUGUUAAAAGUUACACCUUGUGAAAUUAAUACAUAUUAAUAAUCUAAGUAAUACAAUACUAAAUACAGAACAAUCCAAUUAUUGUUUUUAUUGGCCGAUAUCAAUGUUUGGAAGAGAUGGUACAUCUCUAAUCCAAACACCUAAAAACAUACAGUAGGCUUUGGGGGCCUGGGUAGCUCAGCGCGUAUUGACACUGACUACCACCCCUGGAGUCGCGAGUUUGAAUCAGGUCUCCUAUCCAACCAAAUUGGCUUGGUUGCAAAUGAAUUUCUGUUUAUGUUUUGGCCUGUCUGAUUCUGCCCACUCACAAAUUGUAUUUAGACACUUCCGGGUAGCCAGAUUUGAACAAGUUUGCAGGCAAACAAUGCUGCAUGCUGCUGCCAUGGAAGCCAGCAAACGAAGUGGAUCAGAGAUAACAGAUUCCACCCGACCUAAAAAUCCUCACCAUCCAUCUAAAAUCCACCAUGACUGGAGUGUAGUAAAACAAGGAUAAAUAUAGCUGCAAGCAGCGAUGGCGGGCCCAAGCCGGUGGCACCGCCACCCCCGUGCCUUUAGGGUCGCUGUGCACGAUGGGCAAUAACAUAACCUCGCUUUGACUGUCGAGAAGAUGUGUGCUGUAGAGCUUGCAUCAGUGUGGGCUCUGCAAAAGUGCGCAUCGAGGGCACAUAUCAACCACAAAGUAUGCAAGAAUAUGUAACGAGGCACACGUGCCAGGUCUUGUGUGUCACACUUGUAUAAGGUUCAAUAUAAUUCGAUAUGGGCCAACUGAUCAGAAGAUAAGGAGCGGCUACUGAGAGAGGGAAACAACACAGCAGGUAGGUGAAAACCAAGAGCUUUUUUUACUGGUUGGAAUCUUGUAUUCGUUCAAGAAAUUCUUAAUUGCAAUUUGUCUGGAGCAUGUAAAUCUCAAUACUGUAAUUUGACAACAUACAAUGUAUGAUAAUGCUUACAAUCAAAUCUCUUUUUGAAAUUCCAGGAAGUUGGACUCAUCAACUCAAACAAAUCAACUCAAUUGACAACAGUUGUCAUAUACUUUGUAUGAAAAUGAAAUAAUAAAAUGAAACUUGGAAAACUCAGACUCAGUUUGGUUAUGACCCAAUAACAUUUUUAGAAACAGUAAACAAUGUUCUCAAAACAACAUAUUGCAACUUAAUAACUCAAAACACUCUUUCAAUUUAAAAUGUAACAGUCUUUUCAGCCAAAUGAAUCAAAUGUUAAAAAUCCACUGAAUUGAUUCAGUUAGUGUCAGUUCAGAGUCAAAUGACUCGGAUCAAAAAAGUUUUUGACUCUUUAGAAUCGUUCAGUUCAGAAUCGAUGUCUCUCCGUUCAAAGCUCGAGGAAAAAUAUGCAAAAACAAAGUCUCGGUCCAAUUUGUCCGAAAACGAAAAGGUUUCUCAUACCAGUUUCGAUGAGUUCAAGAUCAAAGUUCAAUCAAAUGGUCUCCGUGGGUGGCUCGCCUUU